GAUUAGGGAGUGGAGCUCCUUGAAGUCCAAUAGAGGUUCUUGCUGGGUAGAUUAAGCUGCUAAGCUAUGGAUCCACAGUCCUAUCUAUCAACCGAAGGAUAGGUUUGCGGCUUGCAUAUCUCAGGAGCUUUAUUGCCUAAUGUUAGAUCCCUUUUUGGAUUGAAGGGAGCUCUAAACCCAUAACCC
rnacentral:pre_miRNA from 13 species